rnacentral:rRNA from 1 species
AUGAACGCUGGCGGCGUGCCUCAUACAUGCAAGUCGAGCGAACAGACGAGGAGCUUGCUCCUCUGACGUUAGCGGCGGACGGGUGAGUAACACGUGGAUAACCUACCUAUAAGACUGGGAUAACUUCGGGAAACCGGAGCUAAUACCGGAUAAUAUAUUGAACCGCAUGGUUCAAUAGUGAAAGACGGUUUUGCUGUCACUUAUAGAUGGAUCCGCGCCGCAUUAGCUAGUUGGUAAGGUAACGGCUUACCAAGGCAACGAUGCGUAGCCGACCUGAGAGGGUGAUCGGUCACACUGGAACUGAGACACGGUCCAGACUCCUACGGGAGGCAGCAGUAGGGAAUCUUCCGCAAUGGGCGAAAGCCUGACGGAGCAACGCCGCGUGAGUGAUGAAGGUCUUCGGAUCGUAAAACUCUGUUAUUAGGGAAGAACAAAUGUGUAAGUAACUAUGCACGUCUUGACGGUACCUAAUCAGAAAGCCACGGCUAACUACGUG